GGAAGUAAAAGUCGUAACAAGGUUUCCGUAGGUGAACCUGCGGAAGGAUCAUUAUCGAGUUAGGGUUCCUCUCACGGGCCCGAUCUCCCAACCCUGUGUCUACUACACCUUGUCGUUGCUUCGGCGGACCGGUUGAUGUUUGUCAACCGCCGGGGGUGCAUGCCCCUGGAGAGUGUCCGCCGAUGGCCCAACCACACAAAACUCUUUGUACAAAAACCAUGUCGUCUGAAGUACUUUGAUAUAAUCAAAACACAAAACUUUCAACAACGGAUCUCUUGGUUCUGGCAUCGAUGAAGAACGCAGCGAAAUGCGAUAAGUAAUGCGAAUUGCAGAAUUUCCGUGAGUCAUCGAAUCUUUGAACGCACAUUGCGCCCAUUGGCAUUCCGAUGGGCAUGCCUGUUCGAGCGUCAUUAUCCUCCCUCAAACCCCUGGGUUUGGUGUUGGACUCUGUUGUGCGGUUGUGGCACAACUGGUCUGAAAGACAAUGACGGCGUCCGUGGGACCCUCGGUGCAACGAGCUUUUCGAAGCACGCGUCGAGUGCAUGGUCUCUCCGGGCCGGUCUCCCUUCUCAUUUUUCUAGGUUGACCUCGGAUCAGGUAGGAAUACCCGCUGAACUUAAGCAUAUCAAUAAGCGGAGGA
rnacentral:rRNA from 1 species